rnacentral:rRNA from 1 species
GGGAAUCUACCUUUUGCUACGGAAUAACUCAGGGAAACUUGUGCUAAUACCGUAUGUGCCCUUCGGGGGAAAGAUUUAUCGGCAAAGGAUGAGCCCGCGUUGGAUUAGCUAGUUGGUGGGGUAAAGGCCCACCAAGGCGACGAUCCAUAGCUGGUCUGAGAGGAUGAUCAGCCACACUGGGACUGAGACACGGCCCAGACUCCUACGGGAGGCAGCAGUGGGGAAUAUUGGACAAUGGGCGCAAGCCUGAUCCAGCCAUGCCGCGUGAGUGAUGAAGGCCCUAGGGUUGUAAAGCUCUUUCACCGGUGAAGAUAAUGACGGUAACCGGAGAAGAAGCCCCGGCUAACUUCGUGCCAGCAGCCGCGGUAAUACGAAGGGGGCUAGCGUUGUUCGGAUUUACUGGGCGAAAAGCGCACGUAGGCGGACUUUUAAGUCAGGGGUGAAAUCCCAGAGCUCAACUCUGGAACUGCCUUUGAUACUGGAAGUCUUGAGUAUGGUAGAGGUGAGUGGAAUUCCGAGU